GAUGAACGUUGGCGGCGUGCCUAAUACAUGCAAGUCGAGCGAACGGACGAGAAGCUUGCUUCUCUGAUGUUAGCGGCGGACGGGUGAGUAACACGUGGAUAGCCUACCUAUAAGACUGGGAUAACUUCGGGAAACCGUAGCUAAUACCGGAUAAUAUUUUGAACCGCAUGGUUCAAAAGUGAAAGACGGUCUUGCUGUCACUUAUAGAUGGAUCCGCGCUGCAUUAGCUAGUUGGUAAGGUAACGGCUUACCAAGGCAACGAUGCAUAGCCGACCUGAGAGGGUGAUCGGCCACACUGGAACUGAGACACGGUCCAGACUCCUACGGGAGGCAGCAGUAGGGAAUCUUCCGCAAUGGGCGAAAGCCUGACGGAGCAACGCCGCGUGAGUGAUGAAGGUCUUCGGAUCGUAAAACUCUGUUAUUAGGGAAGAACAUAUGUGUAAGUAACUGUGCACAUCUUGACGGUACCUAAUCAGAAAGCCACGGCUAACUACGUG
rnacentral:rRNA from 1 species